UUUUUUGGUAUUUUUAGAGUGAAAAGUGUUUGUCUUUGGAGUUCAGCUCAUAGAUUGAAGCUUGGAGAAUGUCAAAUGGAGGUUAUAUUGUGCUCAACUAGUUUUGAUUUAGAUAUAUGAAGAUAGAAAGGAGGGAGUGUUACCCGGAUGGCGCCAUUGUCUGACAGGUUCAGUUAUAUGCGCAACUCACAAGUGCUCAAAAAGGCUGCAAGAUGCCUAGCUAGCAACUGCUCUAACCAGUUUGAAGGAAGAAAGGGUGUAUUUCUCCACAGGUUUCCUCAAGACCCAGAUGUGUACAGCGAAAGGACUGGCGCAUUCAGGUGAAGAUGGACUGGUGGCAACAUGUGUCGGAAGGGGGCAAGCUUGGUCAUGCGGCACACUUCAUGAUGAGGGCUCCUUCGAUUGCACAAACCAGUUUGGCUGUACUAUGGUGCAGUCCCAUCAGGUCUUUCUUCCCUGAUCAC